rnacentral:rRNA from 1 species
CUCUGUGACUCCUACGGGGAGGCAGCAGUGGGGAAUAUUGCACAAUGGGGGAAACCCUGAUGCAGCCAUGCCGCGUGUGUGAAGAAGGCCUUCGGGUUGUAAAGCACUUUCAGUAGGGAGGAAGGUAGUGUAGUUAACACCUGCAUUAUUUGACGUUACCUACAGAAGAAGCACCGGCUAACUCCGUGCCAGCAGCCGCGGUAAUACGGAGGGUGCGAGCGUUAAUCGGAAUUACUGGGACGUAAAGCGCAUGCAGGCGGCCUGUUAAGUCAGAUGUGAAAGGCCCGGGGACGUUAACCUACGGAAUUGCUAUUUAGAAACUGCGGGCUAGAGUCUUGUAGAGGGGGGUAGGAAUUUCAGGUGUAGCGGUGAAAUGCGUAGAGAUCUGAAGGAAUACCAGUGGCGAAGGCGGCCCCCUGGACAAAGACUGACGCUCAGAUGCGAAAGCGUGGGGAGCAAACAGGAUUAGAUACCCUGGUAG